UACGUAGGUGGCGAGCGUUGUCCGGAAUUACUGGGUGUAAAGGGCGUGUAGGCGGGAAUGCAAGUCAGAUGUGAAAUCCCCAGGCUUAACCUGGGAGCUGCAUCUGAAUCUGUGUUUCUUGAGUGCUGGAGAGGAAAGCGGAAUUCCUAGUGUAGCGGUGAAAUGCGUAGAUAUUAGGAGGAACACCAGUGGCGAAGGCGGCUUUCUGGACAGUAACUGACGCUGAGGCGCGAAAGCGUGGUGAGCAAACAGG
rnacentral:rRNA from 1 species